rnacentral:rRNA from 1 species
AUUAGAUAAAAAACCAAUGCCCUCUGGGCUCCUUGGUGAUUCAUAAUAACUUAACGAAUCGCAUGGCCCUGCGCCGGCGAUGGUUCAUUCAAAUUUCUGCCCUAUCAACUUUCGAUUGUAAGAUAGAGGCUUACAAUGGUCUUAACGGGUAACGGGGAAUUAGGGUUCGACUCCGGAGAGGGAGCCUGAGAAACGGCUACCACAUCCAAGGAAGGCAGCAGGCGCGCAAAUUACCCAAUGCUAAUACAGCGAGGUAGUGACAAUAAAUACUGAUACGGGGCUCUUUCGGGUCUCGUAAUUGGAAUGAGUACAAUCUAAAUCCCUUAACGAGGAACAAUUGGAGGGCAAGUCUGGUGCCAGCAGCCGCGGUAAUUCCAGCUCCAAUAGCGUAUAUUAAAGUUGUUGCCGUUAAAAAGCUCGUAGUUGAACCUUGGACCUGGCUGAUCUGUCCUCCUAAUCGAGCGCACGGAUUCGGUCUGGUCUUUCCCUCUGGGGAGCCCUAUGCCCUUCACUGGG